rnacentral:lncRNA from 1 species
CUGGAGUGGAGCUGAGAGAGGCUCUUGGGAGCUGCCUGCGUGGGCAGAGUUUGAAGGCUUAGGAUAUCUCCUGAAGGCCGGAUGGGCCAGUAGAGAUUAACGAGGCUUGAGCUGUCUUGAAAGAUGGCUGCCCUGAGAACUGGCUAGAAGAGGAGACCAAGGAGGCUGUGUGGGUCACCCUUGCAUUGGAGAUGAGGGGAGUCGUGAGAGAUCAGUGGGGAGCCCAUUGCCCUGUUGGGGAACUGCCUGGUGGAGCUUUCCCAGGGAUAUUUUAAAGAACCUACAUGGGAGAAAGCCUGCAUUUGGACAUCUUCCAGGCCAUUCAAUAGCCAAAGAGAACCACCAACAGCUUGAAUCAAAAAAAAGGUACAAUUUGCUUGAUGUCAUCAAUACAGUGAGCCAGUGUGAUAUUCUGCGGAAUUGAAGAUGACUACAGUCCCUUUGGACUACACUAUGACAAAGAACAAGAGUGUUAGCACAGCCCUGGGUGGGUCACUGACAAGAAAAUUCACCUGGAGGCCAAAUUGUCUCUAAUAACAAGUCCAAGACAUGCAUUCCAGCUGGAAUCCUCUUCCCGGAUGGUUGUGUGUUUUUAAUUGCAGUAGCCAUCUCCAAAAAUGCCAUCCAGUAACCAUGCCCUUGUGUGCUGCCCUUUCCAUGAAUCUGAGCUAGCCCCAUAAUUUGCUUUUGGCCAUUGGAUGGUGGUGGAAGUGAUGCUGUGUGACUUUUGAAGCUGAGUUACAAGCAGCCUUGGACAGUCUUUCUAGACCUCGUGGAGGGCUCACUCUGGGGGAAGCCAACCAGCAUAUCCGUGUCCCUGUCUGUAACACAGGGCUAAGCAAGUUCUUCAGCUAUUGGGCUUCAUCCACUCAACAUUCCACUGGCACUUCCAGAGCUGCCACCACACUUCAGACUCCCAAGGCUAACAAUGACCAAGAAAGACAGAUUCUCUGACGUCAUGGAACUUACUGUCUUUAUGAAUUUCCAGGGAGAAGGGUGCUAAGAUGCUAACAUGGAUACUAACCAUCUGAUGCAAUAUUCUGCUGCACAGAUUGUGACCUAUGACUCACUGGGACAUGAUAGAGGUCACAGAAAUGCCAAUGACAUCCCAAAGACAGUGUGGGAGUGUGUUGUCUAGCUUCUUAGCAAACCCCACCCCCACGGUGGCAUGACCCCUGCACCAUCUUCUCCCACCCUGGGAUCUCCUUCCUACCCCUCUGCCCAUGUCAAUCUGGAAGGUACUUUUAUACACACACACACACACUCCUAAUAGCAUCUAAAUCAGUCACUCUCAACCUUGGCUGUGCAUUAGUGGUGCUUACCUAUGACAGGGCUAGGCCCAGGCCACACCCAAAUCCAUUAAAGCAGAGCGUCUGGGGUGGGACCCAAGCAUCAGAGUUAUUGGCAUCUUCCCAGCUCGAGAACCAGUGCUCUAAGCGGAUGUGGUCGUCGGGGGAAAGGCAAGGACCUCUGGUCUUUACAAUCUUCUUGAUAUCACUGAAUAACCUCAGUUUCUCUGUCUGGGCAAGGAGGGUACUAAUACCUCCCUCUCCAGGCCAUGAUGAAGGUAAAACAAUAUUCUGAAAGAACCUCAGGAAUCCUGCCCAGAUGAGAGGCACUGGCCCUGUGGCCUCUGGGCAGAUUCACUGGAGAAAGUGGUGGGUGUGAUGGUUUCCCUGGGGGCCAACACUGAGACUUCCCAGUGUUUGCUCUACCAGGGUGAGCAUCACUGUGGUGAAUGUCCCUUGCAGAGCUCACAUCUGUUGCACCAGGAUACUUCCCCUGAAGCUGAGCUGCCAGCCCCAGCCUCCCAUUCCCCCACCUCCUUACCAUGCCCUUCCUUUCCUUCUCUGGCCAGGCCCGAGUCCUGCCAUCUCUAGAUGCUGCAUUUCCAAUACUUUCGGCCCAAUAAACAGUUGGCAGGUGUCAGGUUCCCAGGUUUGAAAGGGGUCUAUAUUAAUCACAGAGAUACACACCUGUCAGGAGUCCAGCUAAUGUCCUUCAGAGAGCCCUGGAGGAGAGCGGGAGAGGCAGGGCUGAUCUGAGGGCGGAGCACACUGAGGAGUAAGGAGAGGCUGGGAUGUGCUAGGGCCACCAGACCAGGAUGUACUGGGGCCGCCAGACCUGUCCACGGAGUCCAGGCGGGGGACUCCCACAUGUCUCAGGCAUCAUGAGGGGCUACAGAAGCAGCAUGAAAACAGUCCCCACCCUCGCCCAGUUCAUGACCUAUAUUGGGAGUGACACACGCUGGGCUUUAAGAUGCUUGCCAAGCAACAUACAGGCAAGUGCAAAGUAGUGAAUCCAGGUUGAGGAAGUGGGUGAGGAGAAGAAAUAUCAGGUGAGAAGCAGACCUGGGGGUUGGGAGAAUGGGGUAGGAAGAGUCCCAGAUAUGCAGUGAAAAGUCAUGCCCUGUUAACGGGGAGAGAAUAGAAGGAGGGGAGGGGAGUGGAGGGAAGAGGAAGGGAGCAG